rnacentral:lncRNA from 1 species
CCCCCUAUUUUUGUAUUUGGAAUUGAGAUUUAUGAUUGUUUGAUUAAUCUAUUUGUCUUAUUUGAAAGUUUUUUUAAAAAAAAAAUUUAAACUAUUUAUAAGACCUAUGCUUUAUUUCUAUCCUCCAAUACACUAUUCUAAAAAAAGAAUGCAUUGGGCUUUUCCUUUCUCCUCAGACUCUUUAGGCAUAGCUAAAGGUAAAUUGCUCGAUUCCAUUAUCAAUGGUAUC